ACGGGCAACCCAUCUUAGCUCAGCUGGAAAAGCGAAGGACUGUAGCUGCAGAAAGGCAUCCUUAGGUCGCCUGUUCGAUCCAGGCAGAUCGUA